rnacentral:rRNA from 1 species
GACGAACGCUGGCGGCGUGCUUAACACAUGCAAGUCGAACGGAAAGGCCCUGCUUUUGUGGGGUGCUCGAGUGGCGAACGGGUGAGUAACACGUGAGUAACCUGCCCUUGACUUUGGGAUAACUUCAGGAAACUGGGGCUAAUACCGGAUAGGAGCUCCUGCUGCAUGGUGGGGGUUGGAAAGUUUCGGCGGUUGGGGAUGGACUCGCGGCUUAUCAGCUUGUUGGUGGGGUAGUGGCUUACCAAGGCUUUGACGGGUAGCCGGCCUGAGAGGGUGACCGGCCACAUUGGGACUGAGAUACGACCCAGACUCCUACGGGAGGCAGCAGUGGGGAAUAUUGCACAAUGGGCGGAAGCCUGAUGCAGCAACGCCGCGUGCGGGAUGACGGCCUUCGGGUUGUAAACCGCUUUCGCCUGUGACGAAGCAUGAGUGACGGUAAUGGGUAAAGAAGCACCGGCUAACUACGUG